rnacentral:rRNA from 1 species
UACGGGGGGAGCAAGCGUUGUUCGGAUUUACUGGGCGUAAAGGGCGCGUAGGCGGCCAGCACAAGUCAGUUGUGAAAUCUCCGAGCUUAACUCGGAAAGGUCAACUGAUACUGUGCGGCUAGAGUGCGGAAGGGGCACUGGAAUUCUUGGUGUAGCGGUGAAAUGCGUAGAUAUCAAGAGGAACACCUGCGGCGAAGGCGGUUGCUGGGCCGACACUGACGGCUGAGGCGCGAAAGCCAGGGGAGCGAACGGG